CCUACGGGUGACAGCAGUGAGGAAUAUUGGUCAAUGGACGAGAGUCUGAACCAGCCAAGUAGCGUGAAGGAUGACUGCCCUAUGGGUUGUAAACUUCUUUUAUAUUGGAAUAAAAUGUUCCACGUGUGGGAUUUUGUAUGUACCAUAUGAAUAAGGAUCGGCUAACUCCGUGCCAGCAGCCGCGUUAAUACGGAGGAUCGGCGCGUUCUCCUGAUUUAUUGGGUUUAAAGGGAGCGUAGGUGGAUUGUUAAGUCAGUUGUGAAAGUUUGCGGCUCAACCGUAAAAUUGCAGUUGAAACUGGCAGUCUUGAGUACAGUAGAGGUGGGCGGAAUUCGUGGUGUAGCGGUGAAAUGCUUAGAUAUCACGAAGAACUCCGAUUGCGAAGGCAGUUCACUGGACUGCAACUGACACUGAGGCUCGAAAGUGUGGGUAUCAAACAGGAUUAGAUACCCGAGUAGUC
rnacentral:rRNA from 1 species